GAGCGCCGUAGCAAUACGGAGCGGCAGACGGGAGAGUAACACGUGGGAACGUGCCCUUCAGUCCGGAACAACCCAGGGAAACUUGGGCUAAUACCGGAUACGUCCGUAAGGAGAAAGAUUUAUCGCUGAAGGAUCGGCCCGCGUCUGAUUAGCUAGUUGGUGGGGUAAAGGCCCACCAAGGCGACGAUCAGUAGCUGGUCUGAGAGGAUGAUCAGCCUCACUGGGACUGAGACACGGCCCAGACUCCUACGGGAGGCAGCAGUGGGGAAUAUUGGACAAUGGGCGCAAGCCUGAUCCAGCCAUGCCGCGUGGGUGAUGAAGGCCCUAGGGUUGUAAAGCCCUUUCGGCGGGGAAGAUAAUGACGGUACCCGCAGAAGAAGCCCCGGCUAACUUCGUG
rnacentral:rRNA from 1 species